rnacentral:rRNA from 1 species
UACAGGGGGUGCAAACGUUGCUCGGAAUUAUUGGGCGUAAAGCGCGCGUAGGCGGCUACUUAAGUCGGAUGUGAAAGCCCCUGGCUCAACUGGGGAAGUGCACCCGAAACUGAGUAGCUUGAGUGCAAAAGAGGGCCGCGGAAUUCCCGGUGUAGAGGUGAAAUUCGUAGAUAUCGGGAGGAACACCGGUGGCGAAGGCGGCGGCCUGGGUUGACACUGACGCUGAGGCGCGAAAGCGUGGGGAGCGAACAGG